GAUGAACGCUGGCGGCGUGCCUAAUACAUGCAAGUCGAGCGAACGGACGAGAAGCUUGCUUUUCUGAUGUUAACGGCGGACGGGUGAGUAACACGUGGAUAACCUACCUAUAAGACUGGGAUAACUUCGGGAAACCGGUGCUAAUACCGGAUAAUAUUUUGAACCGUAUGGUUCAAAAGUGAAAGACGGUCUUGCUGCCACUUAUAGAUGGAUCCGCGCUGCAUUAGCUAGUUGGUAAGGUAACGGCUUACCAAGGCAACGAUGCAUAGCCAACCUGAGAGGGUGAUCGGCCACACUGGAACUGAGACACGGUCCAGACUCCUACGGGAGGCAGCAGUAGGGAAUCUUGCGCAAUGGGCGAAAGCCUGACGGAGCAACGCCGCGUGAGUGAGGAAGGUCUUCGGAUCGUAAAACUCUGUUAUUAGGGAAGAACAUAUGUGUAAGUAACUGUGCACAUCUUGACGGUACCUAAUCAGAAAGCCACGGCUAACUACGUG
rnacentral:rRNA from 1 species